rnacentral:misc_RNA from 1 species
CUCGCGCCGCCACUGCCGCCAGUCGGUGGCGGGCGCUCGCAGCGUACGUUUCAUCAGCUGUGUUCGGACUUGGUGUUCGUUCUCCUCCUUUUUUUCUCCUUCCACCCCUCGUCACCCCCCCUCUCCCUUUCUCUCUCGCUCGCUUUGUGUUACGUCGUAUGCGCGUAUCGCGAAUACGACAGUGAUCCUACGGUUUGACGCGACCGCGUCGGCACGUGCCGGCGUCGGAGGAUCGCACGGCCGUGGGAAUCGGUGGGACGAGAUUCGAAUGUCGGAGCGCACGGUGCAGCUCCUCACGGUGCGUUUGUUUUGACAUGUGUGUGGGCUGCCAUAUUGGAUUACCGCAUCGCUGCCGCUGCUGCUGUCGUCGUCGUCGUCGCCGUCAUCAUCGCCAGUACCAUCAACGCGGGGCACCCGGGCACGAGACGCGACUUUCGCGCUAAAAAAAAGAACGAUCUAUUUGUGGAUCAGGCAUGGAACCUAUCACAACGAUUGCGCGGCACAGUUAAGGUCGGGCGGUUGAUGCCUGAUGGCGCGGGCUGGGACACAACGCUGGAGAAAUCCUGCUCCAGAAGGUGACGAUGUGCAACGAUCGAUCGAGCUGUUGGACAAGGUGCUCUCAGAAUACGACGAGCACGACGCGGAGGGCGAAGGUGGCGGCGGUGGUGGCGGCGGUGGAGGAGGCGGAGGAGGCGGCGGCGGUGGAGGCUGCGUCGGGAACGGAAGCGGCGGGGGUGUCGGGGAUUGCGGCAGCAGCACGGAACCGAGUAUUGGCCUCACGCCCGACGACGAGAGCCCGUCCUUAGGACACCAAUCCGAGGACGACGGUUACAUGAGUAUGAAUGGUCGGAAGGCGAAGAUGGCCCUGGUAGCAUUACGUCCGGUUCCGGACUGUCCGGAGCCUCAGGAUCCCGCGGGAGUCUCGACGCAGGAAUUUCCGCCACCCCCGGAAGAGGCCGAGCGCAUCAUCUCAACUCUUCUACCAAUGGUUUCGCCAGGAAACUCGUCGAAGAGGAGCGUCGUGGGCCAGGCCGCGGAACGACGGAACAACAACGCCGGCGGCCGGCAGCAGCAGUGGAUGGUGUCCAUGGAGGAUAGCAUGCGUCACGGGAACGCGGUUACCACGCAGACUACUCUCCCGAAAACCCGCCACCAGCGACCGUACGGUUGGGAGAACGGGACCGUGGAGUCGUUGCGGUUGGCCCAGCCGCCCAGUCCGCCCAGCAAGUUCGCCAGCCUGCCGUACGACGGCAAGGUGUCCUUCAACUGGAUCCCGCCGCGUACGAAUCCGAGCGCGGCGGAGAAGCACCGGGAGGUGCGUCGCCGUUCCUCGGAGGAGUGCCUGGAGGAUGGCGGGGGCAGCCCCGACCGCGGCAGCCACCACGCGAGGAAGCAUCAGCAGCGCCAGCAGAACGAGAUCACGAAGUCGAGCAGCGUGGAGGACCGUCUGUUGAUGAACAGGUCGGACAAGGAGUCGACGCGACGCAGUCGCAACGACUCGGACUCGAGCGAGGGCCGGUUCUCGCGGAACUCCGAGUCCGAGAGCCGGUCCUCGAUACCGCGCUCCAGCUCGGUCAGUGUCGAGCGGUUCUCCAUGCGCGCCAACUGCGACUCGUCGGACUUCUCGCGCGCCAACUCCACGUCGAACGAGCGCUUCCACUCGGACUUCUCGAUCGCGGUCGCGAGCGCGAGCUCGAACGAUCACGUCUCCGUGCCGACCUCCGAGCCGUUUUCCAUACGCAACCUCGACUUCGUUUCGUUCGCGUUGCCGCGCGCGGACUCGAGCGAACGCUUCUCCGCGCCCACGUCCGACCGCUGUUCCGAGGAGCGCUACUCCGACCUCUUCUCCACGCGUAACUCCGACUUCUCCGCGCGAAAUUCGGCCGACUUUAGGACGCAGUCCGAGGAGGAGCGCUUUUCCGACGACUCCCUGGAGGAGCUAUUGCCGCCACCGCCGCCCAUCAGCAAGAGACACUCUAUCGCAUGGGAGGUCUCUCUGGAGGACGAUCCUUUAUACGCACCCGGCAGCACCAAGGUUGUCGGGAGAAGACGACGAAAGAGCAGCGAUGUGUCAAGUGUAGGUUCCGCGUCGAAGUUGCGCGACUUCGACGACUGGCAGGAUCAGCGAUUGUCGACGACCGAUGACGAUCUGAUCUCGCCGUAUUCGGACUCGUCUACGAACGAGCUAGAUCAGAUACGGCCGCAGGAGCUCACGAAAAAUGGCACCUACGUCAUACGACGUGGCCGCAAGAAGGAGCGCAAGGUUCUUCCGAAGACGCCGACCAAGACCAAGAGCCUGUCGUUCGAAAACGGCGAAGAUGGCGGCCGAUUAUCGGAUGUGAAGCGAUACUCGAGCACUUUCGACAACAUCAAGAGCCUGCUGAAGGAAGGCAAGCUGGAGGGUCUGAACGAGCCGCCAGCGGAAUUUGCGCUUCCGGUGCCGCCGGACCUCAUCCGGGUCGUGUCGAUGCCGGCGAUUAACAACGACGCCAGUAAUCGGGCUCAGCUGGAGAUCACCGUAGAAGAGGAGGAGACGUUCGACGUUUUGGACAAGGACAAGGAACGCGACAACAUCGAACUACCUCGGCUACCACCAUCGCCGGUCGAGGACGAUCAAGUAGGUCCUCGUUCGGAUCGAUCGAGAGACUGCAACGGCGUCCCAACGGCGCCCAACUUGGCGGAUCUCGAUAUCGCCAGGUCGUCCACGAACAACGCGCUCGCCGAGCCGAGGAAAAAACUCACGAGCGCGGUAAGCGACGAGCGACUGGCCUCCAAGAUCCCGGUGAACUUGUUGAUUGAGGAUCAGAUCGUAAAGAAGGCGCUCAAGGAGAAUCGCCGUCAACUGGAAAAGGUGAGCGACGCGAUCAAAGAGAUCGAGAGCGUGAAGAACAGUGAAUCCUAUUGCGAGAGCAAACGUUGGCGAAAUGGCGACCUGAAGCAGAACUCGAAGCGAAGCAGCUUCGAUAACGAAUUUCCGUCGAUUCACGACGGCCGGAAACCGGUGACGAUCGAGGGCAGCCCCUAUGAUGGUAGGACGCGCGGCAGGCAGCAGCAACAUCAGCAACAGCAGUACAGCUCCGACUCCGAAACGUCGAAGGCCAGCUCGGACGUGGACUUCGCGGAUCGGAGAAAAUUGAACGGCGCCACGGACGUCGUCUACUCGUCCGGCAGGCGGUUGCACCAGAACGGUAUCGAGAAUCACAAGAACGAUCAGAAACAGAUCGAGAACGUGAUCGACGCUAUUCUGGAGGACUCGAAGAAUCCGGAAUUUCAGGUGAGCGUUGACGUGAUGGAGUUUCCGCCAUUGCCGCCCUCGCCCGUCGAGGAAGCCGACGAGGAAAGCUGCUCGGACGUCGGCCAAAGCGCCAUGAUGACGCCACCAAAGUCCAAAAGUCACAGCAGCCGGCCCGUGGAGUACAGGCCGAGGGUGCCACCGCAUCGUGUUCCGCCAGUUAUCGACCCGAAGGAGCAGGCUUCCUUGAAUACCAGGUCCAUGGAUGCCGGCUUUACCAGGGGGAGACGUACACCGACCACCAAUAAUUCCAGGCGAGAGGUGCCCGUGGAACGGAGAACUCUGCCCACCGAUUUACCAGGACCAUCUCGUCGACGGCCGUUCACGAAAAGACACUCGCCAUCGGCGGAGCCGUGUUCCUCCGGGGGUAGCAGCGGCGGUGGUGGUACAGGCGGCAGCGUCGUUACCGGCACCGGUUCCGGUAUGCAGACAUCGUGUUCCCUGCCGGAGACCCCGGUGUUCGCCAGGGGCAGCGACAUCCCCAGAACGCCGCAACACGCUGGCAAUCCCACGCAGUCGAGGCGACAACCCGGCUGGUACGCACCAACCACAGCUACCGGCUAUCGACGGAACAAUCCCGGUCUGGAACAGGCCAUAAUCGGCACUGAGCUUCUCCGGCUGGCGGGCGGCCCGAACCGUGGAUGGUAUCCCACCAGGAAGACAAACCAGCCGCGGCCGGCGUCGAUCGAGCACCUCGAGCGGCUGAAUAAUGCUUAUGACGCGCGGUUACCGGGCACCGGAGACCAGAGGAAGCCGCUGACUCUGCCCACGAACAUCACGCCCAACAAAUACUUCGGCCAAAGUAAGCACAGCUCCGCCUCCAGCACUCGUGAGGCGCUACGGAGGGUCACUAGCUUGCUCAUCAAGAAAGGUAAGCGCCGGGGAUUCGCGCUGUUAAAAAGAGAAACACCACGCCUGAGCCAUUCGGCGCGUGGCGUAGUCAGGAAAACACGACGUCGUCGGCAACUGUGAAAUAUCACGGAUCCCAUUUGCGCUCAAGAUGAAUUUCACGGUUCCGUUUCCGUUUUUUUUUUUCUUUUUUCUCGGCAGUGCUAUUAUGAAUUUGUGCGAUCAAACAAGCUUUCAGAGAUGCGCAAAUGGACAUGAAAGAUCUUUGACAUAAAGUUUUGUAAAUUUUAAAACGUUAGCAGUACUCGUAAUAGUAUUGCUGGUGGACCGUAGAAUGUUACUUGGAACACAAAUGUGGACGUGGUUUUUAGGUUGCCAUGUAAAGAGAUACUGUAAGCGAUAAGUGACAAUUUUUGUUGAACUAUUGUAUAAUAGAUUGUGUAUUUUUGAUGUCAUCACGAAACAAUUUAUUUCAAUCUUAAAGAUACAUGCAUUAAAUUAAAUUAAUUUUUUUUAUAAAUAUUGUGUUGCUUCUCUGUACAUUAUUAUAAAACAAAUUCUUAUUAAAUCAGUACGUAUUUGAUUUUCUUGUGAAAUAAUUAAAAAUUUUAUAAUAAGGAAAAUUUUUAAAUGAUGUAAAAUUUUGUUAUUAAAAUAUUAAAAGAAAAAUUUAUCUAUCUGUUAUAUUUUAUCGAUUUCUUAAUAGUAAGAGCAAAUGUAGUAUAUAUGUAGUGAUUGUACUUAUAUAAUUAUUUAAUAACUUGUUUCAUGCAUGUUUAAUUUAAAAAAAUUUAUAUAUGUAUAUCUUUGAUUAACCAAUAUUUUCAAUUGCAAUUGUCAUAAUUGCGCUAACAAAUCGCUUACGUCGUGUUUUCUAAAGAUUUCGCUAUUUGAAAGCCCGUAAUCUUUGAUAAGUAACCUGCGAAAGAGUUUUCUAACUUGUAUCGUGUGUGACCUUUCGUGGCAUUUGAGUGCCACUGACUAUCUAAUUCUUUAAUCUUAUGUCUCUUUAAUAUCUUGGAAUGCUUGCUUCUAAGUAACUUACUGCUAUAAUCAUUCAGAAGUUUAUGUCUAUGCAUAUGUUAAUUAUUCAAUGUGCGAUCAGUGUCCCAAUAUUCCUUCUACACUAGCAUCAAUGAUAAACUUAUAGAAUUUGGCAUCAAAAUAUAUAUUAACACAUUUUUUCAUACGUAAUGUUGAUUGAAAUAUACUUGCAAUGAUCGAGCCUUAAACAAGUAAAAAUUUUUUUAUUAAUUCAUGCGUGUAAUUUUUUUUGUGUCACUUUUUUCAAAUAUAUAUAUCUAACUUUUUUGUAUCUCUUUUGUACACGUUCUGACGUCUAUUGCAUGUAGCAUUUUUGCAAUAUCUUUAAUCUUUUCCGUGGAAUAAUCUUUACUUUAAUUAUUACACUUUAUUAGGAACGUUAAUGUAUCAAUCAAUGCCUUUAGGUAAUUUAGAAAUAAGCUGCAUGUUUAACAUGUAGUUGACACAUUGUGAUACAAGAUACAAGAAUAUUGUGAUUAGAACCUUAAAUUUUUUAUUCACGAAUGUUAAAUAUAUGCAUAAUCCAAUAACGCAAAUUGCAUCUUUAGAAUACAGUAGUUUUUAGAUAUUAUUUCAUACACAAAAUAUAACUUUAACUUAAAAUCCGGAGAAAGAUUAUUACCGACUGUUGAAUUAUAUCAAUCGUCGAUAACUUUGUCCAAUUAUACAUUUUUAUACUUAAAUAUUUUAUGACAAUAUAAAACACACAUUUUCUGCAAAUUAUAAUUAUAAUUUAUAUAAGAAAUAUUCAAUAAGUCUAUUUGUCUUUACGUUUUUUGCAAUUAAAAUCUUUUCUCUCUUAUAGUUAUUUAAUUUCUUUGAAGUAACAAGAUGGGGGGAGAGGGAUUUCAACUAAUAUGAACAGAUUUAAUAUCUUCAUUUCUCAUCGCAAUAUCGUAUAGAAAUUAAAUACAUUUGAUUUCUAGAGAACCUAGGGAAUAUUUCUUGGCAAAUGGCAUUGCUGUACGUUUUCCUCUCCGCAACGAUCGUGCGACUUUUGCCGCACCACGUGUUUCGCGGAGCUCUGUAACGUGGCGCUAUCUGACAGCAUCUCCGCGAGUGAUUUUCCAGUUGAAUGUAACCGACCUUGAAAGCUCGUCCGCGCGGUUAGAGAGGGCGGCAGGAGGGAGGGAGAGCGACAAGGCCUCGGCCAUGUUACACGUUGCGAGUCGUCCCGCGCUCCUCUACCCCGAUCAGUAACGUAACUGAUGAAACUAGCACCCUUCUUUUCAUUUCCUCUUUAUCUGAAGAGGUCUUUAUCGAAUUAAAAGCUUCAGUUGAAAUUACUGAACGUUCCUUUUUCUGAUGAGCAUCGAGGAUAAAAUCUGCAUCAUCGAUUAUCUUCUACAACACUUCAUCGCAAUGCACACGAAUAUGCAUCUUACAGCACAGUUUAUUAUAGUUUCUCCUCGUUGUAGUUAAGAAAAAUAAAUGCUAGAAAUUUGCAAGGGAAACUCAGGGGUUCCGUGGCUACCUGCGCCCAAUGAGCGACGUCGUGUUCAAGCGGAUAGACAAACGGGUACGAGGAGAGAUGGCGGGGGAGGCGCGCAGAGGGUACGCCACAUUGUGCGUGGGACAUCCCCGCGCGCGCAAGCCAGUGAGCGAGCGAGCGGGUCCGCCGCUCCGGAGGUGUCUCCUUCACACCCGAGGGUUCCCGUUAUUGAUUCGUCCGACGGGAGGUUCAUCCGCGAAUGUUUCCGCGUCCGCCGAUUCGGCCGCCUGCGCGCGGCUCGUCUAUACACCUCGUCAAAUUUUCAGACUCGUCGCAAAGCGCGGACUUCGGACCUAGAGAAAAGCACUACACGGAAUUAAAAGUGGGAGGGCAGAAAAGGAGAAAAGAAGGGAGAUGGAGAGAAUGAGAGAAAAGAGUCCGGUUCGAUAGAUGCAGUCACUUGAGAAUCUCUAAGAACCGGAUGUUCUGCGGAGCAUCAGUCCUAACUCUGGGAUAAUUUUGCUUCUGUUAUUAUUAUUUUUUUUUAUGGAACUAGCAAAGGCGUAUCUACGUUGACUAAGAUGUAUCCGCGAAAUUAAGAUAUUGACGCUUUUCAAGUUACGAACGAUUAAGAGGAAAGAAGAGAUACGCGCCGAAGAAAUGCACCGAGGCAAAGAAAGUUCUUUAUCUCUUCGUUCAUUUACGCUAGUAAUGCACUUACGAUGGAACUUGUAGAUUCAUUUUUUUACUUGCAUCUUACUCGUCGUCGAGUAGACGGCGACGACUUCUUUUCCUCGCGGCGGCGUAUCGACACCGCGCUCUAAAAAUAACCGUUAGCGAUAACACGCGACAUUUAAUGCAUUCGCGACAUUAUGUGCGCUCCUUUUUGACAAGAGUCGUUGCUCCCGUGCUGUCGUUUCGAUGAAAUUAUUCACUGUGCUCUCAACUACUUCUCGUUACUCAAUAAAUAUCUCUGACGACUUAAAUAUUAAUUUAUUCGUUAGCUAUUUCUUUAUUCAAGUAGGUUUUAUGUGAAAUCGAAAUAAAAAAAGGUAACUUUCUUCGCUUAACAUCCUUCUUCCACGCGCGCAAGUAUUGCAAAGGGACACAAGUUGCACUUGUAUUUCAGCGUCAUGAAAGUUGUUAAAUCGACACGCGAUUAUUAGCUUUGCGAGAAAGAAAAUUAACUUUCUUGAUUUUUCGCAAGAGCUUCAAAACAUCGAAAAACUUUCCGGACACGUUCGAGAGAGGAUUAAGAAGAAAUUCACUUCCGAGUUUAUUUAUUGUCGUCGGUAUAUAUUGAUUCUCUUACGCGGAUUUUCCCGGUACGGUUGCAUGUUUUGGCCUUAUUGAUUCGCUGCGCGAGUAUAAUUCCAACGAGAAUGACCGUACCGAUAAGUAUUUAACGUACGUGUGCGUGCGUCGAAAGCGCACUCGAUUCGCACGUUCGGUCGUCUGGUCCGAUUCUCCACCGAUGAAUGAUAUCACGCGGAUUCCCAGUCAAGGACGUGGAAGUCCAAUUUAAGGCGGAUGACACACGGGCGAGCUAAAUAUCGCGAAGACUGGCCUUGCAAAUUCGAAAAAGAGCACUCGCCCGAGAAAUUUUCGAACUCGCUUUCAAGUUUUGUUUCCUCCGUAGAGUAUAAAACUUGUCCCAACUUGUUUCGGAUAAGCGAUAACUUCGAAGUUUCUCUUUUCUUUUUCUACUCGCAUAACUUGUAGAUAAUCAGUUAAAGAUUACGCUGUGUUAGUUUACAACUUGUAUCAGAAAAAAUUAUAAUUUCUAAAAUUAUUGUAUAUCAAACUCUACAAAGGCAAAUUGACAAACUAUCGAAUUACAUAUUUCAUAUUUGAGAAUAUGUUUUCUAGACUUUUGAAAAAUCUGCAUUUUAAUCAUUAUAACGUCGAAAAUAUCGUUUAAAUUAAUAUUCCUUCCGAUGACGAAUUUCGGCAAAUAUUAGCCGUAAUUUUGGUCCCACGCCUCAUUGUGAAGCACCUUGGCGAUUCUCGCAGAAAAUGACCAUCCAAAGGGGAGAUGUUUUCCGAUCGGUUAGUAGGUGGUGGAUGUUGGUAGGUGAACAGGGCUCGGCGGGGGCGCGAGCAUCCCUUUCUCGCCAGGUCGAGGUAGUGGUGGCAAUCGUUACUCCCGUCUGCUGAUCCGUCUACCAACCCCGCGAACAGCGGGGGCAAAUACUACCCCUACACCCGGACGGUAUCCGCCUCCAUCGCGGCCGAGCAUUCACCGACCUCGGCGGCGACGGCGACAAUCUCUAGAGUUGCGGAAGACACUACCUCGGCUGUCCGGCAGAACCGACGACAUCCUCGCAUUUCCCGUGAAUUCUGAAUUUUACAAAACCCAGCACGGAUCAGUGUGAACAGUUAGAUAGCUGAAGGAAUAAAAUGAUUGUGUGGCUAUCAAGCCAGAUUUUUUUAAUUGUGGAAGAACAUAUAAAUUAUUCAGUAAUACAAACGUUCACAUUAUUGUUCGUAACUUUAAUAUUUUGGUGAUUUUUAAAAUUAAUUUUUUUAAUUCGAUAUUUUUACAACUGUAAAGAAUAAUUUUUAAAAACGAUUUUUUUAAAGAGAGCAUAGCUUUAUCGGUCGUCUGCUUAAGCCGGAAUUUAUUCAAUUGAAUAUUCUCAAUCAUUCUGUCAUUGUCCUCUUUCUUGUCUUUAAUAUCUAUCUCUAAUAUCUUGUCUUUAAUAUCUUGUCUUUAAUAUCUCUACUUCAUUGUGCUCGUAUUUUAUUUUAUCGAUCCAGACAACUUCUCGAUGCACGAUAUUACUCGUGUUUUUCCCCAUUGUCUCUUUCGUCUUAUCUUUGCGUUUUUUUUUAAACUUUUUCACAGCGAAAAAUUAUUGAGCAGUCGGUUAUUGUUUAUAAUAAGCAAUGCACAAUCAUACCACGUCUUGAAAAGUUUAGGGAUACUUUUUAUUCAUUUUUUCCAUUUCUAUUCGACUGUGUAAUUAUCGUGUGAGAAACAAGAUGUUUACCUGAACGCAACGGUCUUACCGCGAUCAUUCGUAAGGCAAUUUCGCCGAUAACAUUUCGAUACGCGAUAAACCGCACGUAUUGGGCCGUUAAUCUGCUCAAUUUACUAAAACAAUGUGCCUCGAUACCGGUUUUAUCGUCGAGUUUACAAAUUAAAGCGUCGUCAUCGUCAUCCGACCGAUACGAGAAUAUAUCGCGGUGAAUACGUUCAGCGAGCGAAUCUAAGUAAUGUGGUUGCUUCGAGAGAUUCGUCAUAUUGAAUAAAAAUGCAGCAGAAUAUUAUAGAAGAAUAAAUCAAAAUUAUAAUAAUUGCAAGAGAAUUUUCUUAAUUUGUUAAUUUUUUUUCUUUACCCUUAGUAGAAGACAAAACAGCUCAAUAUACACGGCUCAAUAUAUUUAAUUCAGUUUUUCUCGUUUACAUCUGAAAAUUUUACAUCUAAAAAAAUGCUUCUUUUACCUGAAAA